rnacentral:rRNA from 1 species
AACNCCGCCAGCAGGGGGAUAAGCGGAAGAAAUUCCGUCUAAUACCGCGUAACAACGUUGGGAGGCAUCUCCCGAUGUUUAAAGAUUUAUCGGCUGCGGAUGGCCAUGCGGCGCAUUAGCUAGUCGGCGGGGUAACGGCCCACCGAGGCGACGAUGCGUAGGGGUUCUGAGAGGAAGGUCCCCCACACUGGUACUGAGACACGGACCAGACUCCUACGGGAGGCAGCAG